rnacentral:misc_RNA from 1 species
AACCAUAGAAACCUGCGGAGUACCUGCGGAAGGAUCAUUAUCGUUGGGCUCCUGCCCAUUCGAGAUAACACCCUUGCCUUUUUGAGUACCUUUUCGUUUCCUCGGCAGGCACGCCUGCCAACGGGGACCCUUCAAAACGCUUUGUAAUACCUGUCAUUGUCUGAUAUAACAAGCAAAAAUCAAAACUUUUAGCAAUGGAUCU